rnacentral:snoRNA from 1 species
AUUCCGCGAUGAAUCCUUAUAAUCAGUUCUGCUUCCGAAAGAGAGCGAUCUCUUGUGGACAACCUGAUACCAAAAACACAACUCUGAUCG